GACGAACGCGGGCGGCGUGCCUAAUACAUGCAAGUAGAACGCACAGUAUAUACCGUAGCUUGCUACACCAUAGACUGUGAGUUGCGAACGGGUGAGUAACGCGUAGGUAACCUGCCUGGUAGCGGGGGAUAACUAUUGGAAACGAUAGCUAAUACCGCAUAAUAUUAAUUAUUGCAUGAUAAUUGAUUGAAAGAUGCAACUGCAUCACUACCAGAUGGACCUGCGUUGUAUUAGCUAGUAGGUGAGGUAACGGCUCACCUAGGCGACGAUACAUAGCCGACCUGAGAGGGUGAUCGGCCACACUGGGACUGAGACACGGCCCAGACUCCUACGGGAGGCAGCAGUAGGGAAUCUUCGGCAAUGGACGAAAGUCUGACCGAGCAACGCCGCGUGAGUGAAGAAGGUUUUCGGAUCGUAAAGCUCUGUUGUAAGAGAAGAACGGGUGUGAGAGUGGAAAGUUCACACUGUGACGGUAUCUUACCAGAAAGGGACGGCUAACUACGUGCCAGCAGCCGCGGUAAUACGUAGGUCCCGAGCGUUGUCCGGAUUUAUUGGGCGUAAAGCGAGCGCAGGCGGUUAGAUAAGUCUGAAGUUAAAGGCUGUGGCUUAACCAUAGUACGCUUUGGAAACUGUUUAACUUGAGUGCAGAAGGGGAGAGUGGAAUUCCAUGUGUAGCGGUGAAAUGCGUAGAUAUAUGGAGGAACACCGGUGGCGAAAGCGGCUCUCUGGUCUGUAACUGACGCUGAGGCUCGAAAGCGUGGGGAGCGAACAGG
rnacentral:rRNA from 1 species